rnacentral:lncRNA from 1 species
AGGAAAUUUUUUAUAAAAAUAUCACAAAAUAAUGAGCAGAGUGGGAUCUCAACAUUUGAUAACAAAUUGUAAAUUACUGAGAUCUUUAAAAAAUAACUUUUAUUAAGUGCCUGUAGUUGUUUUUGGUUACUCUAAAUCUCAAAUAUUCUUAAGAAAUUUCCUUUAUUUUUCUGUGGAUUUUGUUUUAAAAAUGUCCUUAUUUAUUGCAUUCCAGAGUUAAAUAUUGAAAAAAAUGAUUUUGUUUAAAUCUGACAUGAUAUGUGGCUAUUUUUUUUUAUUAAUUAAGAAAAGUUUUUCUAAAGUAUUUUAGAGAGGCCCAAGGAACAUCUGUAUCCAGCUUUGGCCUUAAUAUUGUAGAGAAGGGCUUCAAAUUAGAGUUUUAUUGGAAAAACUCUCAGUUUUCCUGGAAGUUCUCUUCAUUUUGCUAUUUCAGUGAUUCAGAAGAACAAAAAGUACUUGAGUUACUUCUUAUUUUAUUAGCUUAAUUGUUAGAGUAGACUAACAGACUGCCAGGAGCCAAUUUCUCUUUUGCAAAACAGUACACUUGACAAAGUGAUAGUGUUCUCAGUCGAAAGCAGACUAUUAUUAUUUCCUGUUUUGGAAGGUGUGACUGCUGUCUCUAGCAUUUCUGAACCUUCUGAGUGAAAACUGCUAACAUCCUGGUUAUCCAUCCCAGCAUUAGCUACCUUAGGCCAGGUAUUGAGACACAACUGCUCAUUCUACUUUUGUUGUUGCUGUUGUUUUCUUCAUUUUAAAGCAUACAUUUUGACUAACCAAGUAGCUGCUUAAACCCAAGGUUGCUGACCUAAAGUCAAGUUGUUAAGAGAGUUUAGACUCGCCUAAAUUAUUAUUCAUAUGUCAAUUAUCUAAUUUUGAAUAAAUAUGAUGAUCUGUCUGACCUGAUCUAACCACACCAAGGAUAAGGAUUUCCUAAUGACCAUGGAAGGAAACUCAAAGCAAGGUGUGUCUUGGAUUGCUCAGCAUCUGCUAAAAUGUCCUUCUACGGUGCCACAUCUGUACUACAGAGGCUGGAAAAUGGUCAUCUACAUCCACAUUUCCCCCUUGACAUGAACUUUCCAUGUCUUGUCCAAGAUCUGAAUUAGGAACUGAGUUCAAUGGGAAGAGAGGAGAGACAUCUAGCACAUCUUGCGGGUGUAGAGUGACUGCACGGCAACGUAGCUGGAGUGGCAUCUGAUCAUCAGGCCACGGUUAAGGUGGUGGAACCUGGAAUCAGUAACUUCCUGACUGUAGCAGAAAUAAUAGUUCCCUGCCUGAGCCUCUUCCGGGAUAAGAUGUGCGAGUUGAACCUGGAACCUGCUGCCCCAACUCUACCAACAAUGUUUUAACACUAGAUUAUGUGAACUAAGUCCAUUUGUACUUAAAUAGCUAGAAUGUUUUCUGUUACCCAGAACUCUGAACCCUGUGUGGAAAGGACUAAUUUGCAUUAUCUCUAUAUCAUAAUAAAAGUAAAUUAAAAUUCA